rnacentral:rRNA from 1 species
AAGUGGGAAAAGCUCAACUUUGAAAUCUGGCACCUUCGGUGUCCGAGUUGUAGUCUCAAGAAGUGUUUUCUGUGCUGGUCCAUGUAUGAGUCUGUUGGAACACAGCGUCAUAGAGGGUGACAACCCCGUUCAUGACAUGGAUACCAGUGCUUGUGAUACACUCUCGAAGAGUCGAGUUGUUUGGGAAUGCAGCUCAAAUUGGGUGGUAAAUUCCAUCUAAAGCUAAAUAUUGGCGAGAGACCGAUAGCAAACAAGUACCGUGAGGGAAAGAUGAAAAGCACUUUGGAAAGAGAGUUAACAGUACGUGAAAUUGUUGAAAGGGAAACGAUUGAAGUCAGACGUGCGUGAUGCGGUUCAGCCUGGUUCGCCAGGUGUAUUCCGUAUCUUUGCAGGCCAACAUCAGUUUCGGUAGUCGGAUAAAGUUAGUUGAAUGUGGCACCUCGGGUGUGUUAUAGCUUCUAAUGAAUACGAUUUAUGGGACUGAGGAACGCAGCGCGCCGCAAGGCAAAGGUUC